GAUGAAGAACGUAGCGAAAUGCGAUAAGUAAUGUGAAUUGCAGAAUUCAGUGAAUCAUCGAAUCUUUGAACGCACAUUGCGCCCGCUGGUAUUCCGGCGGGCAUGCCUGUUCGAGCGUCAUUUCAACCCUCAAGCUCUCCGGAGUUUGGUGUUGGGGCGCCUGGGGCUUUUCGACCUCAGGGCCCUCAAGUCCAUCGGCGGGACCGCCAGGACACUGAGCGCAGUAGUAUUAUUUCGCUCGGUAGGAUCUUCCACGGCGGGUCGAUCUGGCCGCUAAACCCCCCAAUUCUCACCAAAGGUUGCCCUCGGAUCAGGUAGGAAUACCCGCUGAACUUAAGCAUAUCAAUAAGCGGAGGA
rnacentral:misc_RNA from 1 species